GACAUUGUUGGCUGCGCUAGACAACUUGGCUACUAAUGUGCUUGUGCUCAAGUGUCAUGGCAGUCCUAAUAAGCAUAACAACCAGAACGAAUCAAGUGUCACUCAGAAACAGAGUUUCAGAUCAGAGGUAUCUUUCUUACAGAGGGAAACAACACCGGCGGAGGCUAGCAUUGGGCUGGGUUCAUGCGGGGCGUUGGGACGGGACGAGGCCGGGGCAGUUAAGCUUGCUCCAGCGAUGCGGUCAACGGCGGGGCGCUGGUCGGGCGACCGUGGCUCGUUCAUGACCUCCCUUCGAUCGGAGCCGACGACAAGGCACGAUGGGGAAGUGAUAGGCUAUGACGCCUGCAGAGACAGCGGAGAUGGGCCGGCAACGGCGGCGCGACUUGGCGGUAGUGCCGACGACGGCGACGCGACUUGGCGGUAGGGCCGACUCGCACGGGAGAGUCGGGGAUCUGUCUUGCUCCGGCGGAGGGGCGGCUAGCGGCGAAGGUGCGGGCGAGCCGGCGUCCAUGGCGGCGGUCCCUGAAAAAGAAAUGAAAGGGAGCCCCAAGGUGAGGGAGAGAGAGGAAACCAGUGGGAGGAGAAGGGAGAGGGCGCGAGCGAAGCAGCCGGUCUGGGCUCCUCCAGCAGCGGGACUUGCCGGCGCGGCUACUC
rnacentral:lncRNA from 1 species